rnacentral:rRNA from 1 species
AGCAGCCGCGGUAAUUCCAGCUCCAAUAGCGUAUAUUAAAGUUGCUGCAGUUAAAAAGCUCGUAGUUGAAUUUCGGGACUAAUAUGUCGGUCGUGCCUCGGUACGUACUGGCUUAUUGGUUUCUCCUUUCUGAAGAACCAUGAUGUCAUUUAUUUGGUGUCGUGAGGAAUCAGGACUGUUACUUUGAAAAAAUUAGAGUGUUUAAAGCAGGCUCACGCUUGAAUACAUUAGCAUGGAAUAAUGAAAUAGGACGUUUGAUUCUAUUUUGUUGGUUUCUAGGAUCGACGUAAUGAUUAAUAGGGAUAGUUGGGGGCAUUAGUAUUCAAUUGUCAGAGGUGAAAUUCUUGGAUUUAUUGAAGACUAACUACUGCGAAAGCAUUUGCCAAGGAUGUUUUCAUUAAUCAAGAACGAAAGUUAGGGGAUCGAAGACGAUCAGAUACCGUCGUAGUCUUAACCAUAAACUAUGCCGACUAGGGAUCGGAUGAUGUUAAUUUUUUAAUGACUCAUUCGGCGCCUUACG